CUAAGGACAUGGGUCCCCUUGUCCUCCUGGUGUAGCUACACUGUGUAAAGUUCCUUUCAUGUUGUUUAUCAUCACCUUUUCUGUUUGUUUUUUUGGGGGGCAGAUGGCUAGACCUGAUUAAUUGGAUCCUUAGAAUUAGGUCUCUGGCAACAAUAGUACCUAUCAUAGAGCCUGACACAUAAAAUAGGUGCUCAUUACAUAUAUGUGGAGCAAAUAAAUGAAAAUAGUGAAAAUUCAGUUGCUCAUAAUUUGAUGUGAGGGAGGAACCUAACCACAGAAUUAAAUAGAAAAUUUAUCAGUAGUAAUUAUUAGACCAUUGUUUUAGUUAGUUCUUCCUCGCUGUGGCCAAUAUAAUUGACUAGAACAACAUAAAGGAGGAAAAGUCAGUUUGGGCUCAUUCAGAAGUUGAGUCCAUGGUUGACUGGCUCCAUAGCUUUGGGCAGAAAAGAUUGGUAGAAGAAGGCAGCUCAGGAUGUAGCAUCGGGAAGCAGAGAGAGAGGGAGAGACCUCUGCUUAUCAUCGAGAAAGUAUAAACCCCAAAGGCAUGUCCCCAGUCACACAUACACUCUCCAGCCACACCUUACCUAUAGUUACUCCCCAGUUAAUUCAUCAGUGAAUUAACCCAUAUAAUCUCUAAUCGCUAAUCUAAUCAUCUCACCCCUGAAAAUUCUUGCAUUGUCUCACACAAGAACUUUUCAGGGACAUCUUAUAUCUAAACUGUAACAACCAUAGAUUUUGUAAUUUGAUGCUUUUCUUUUAUGCGAGGCAAGUGCUUUACAACUGAGCUACAUCCCCAGAACUUUUGAUUUUGACACAGGAUCUCCCUGUGUUGUCCAGGAUGGACUCCAAUUUGUGGUCCUCCUGGCUCAGCCUCCUGAAUCCCUGGAAUUAUAGGCAUAUUCCACUGCGGGGUCUGCUUGUUGUAAUGAGGCAGCUCCUUUGGAGCUGUCCAUGGCAGAGUAACUCCCUUUGACCUUCCACAGAUUGUUGCCCCCUCCCUAAUCCUCUUACCUCCUUUACCUUUCUCCUGAAUUUUAAAUUCUAAAGAGAAACCUCAUCUCAGUGGUUAAUAUGUUAACUGCUAUAUUUUUCUUUAUAGAACCCAGAACAUGUAGUGACCUUAGUGAUGUUCUUUCAUAGAUUUUAGUUCUAUGCAUUCACCAACACACAGCAUAUACAUUGACAUGAGGUUUUAAAAAGGACUCCUGUAGCUACUCCCAGGAGGUUGAGGUCCUUUAUGCCCCUGAGCCCCACUUCACUGAGUUGGAGCUUUGAGAUUGAACUUCUCUGUCUUCCAAGAUUGCUGGCCCUUAAAUAAACCUGAUUUCUUUCCACCAACUCUUAUCUACUGAA
rnacentral:lncRNA from 1 species